rnacentral:misc_RNA from 1 species
GGCCAUGUGACUUCUUUUAAUCUGAAGUUGUUGAUACAGUUCCUGUUCCCCAAAUCAAAAAUGACGGUAUCCAGUACAUUCACUUUGAGCUGAGAGAGUUGGCAGCAGAAGUAUGGCCUCUGGUGGUUGGUCACAUGUCCUCACAGAGUUGUCCCCCCUUGGUGCCCUUGAAGCUCCUCUGCAACGUUCAGCAAGACUGCGGUAUACAUGUGUAUCAGUGUCCAAGAAGUACAUUGCUCUGGGCAGCAACACUGGCGGCGUUUACAUCUUCGCACGAGACACACUCAAACAUCUACAGGUGGUCUAUGGCGAUGUGGAGUCCAGCCCCCUGUCACUCACAGCCCUCAGCCCCAAUGACAACUUUGUGGCCUAUGCAAGCGGGUCGGGGCAGGUGGUUGUCAUGGAGAUGAACAUAGAGAAGCGACAGAAGCCGGAACGAGUUCGGCUAACGUCAGACCAUGUUGGGUGUACCGUCACCUGCCUUCAGUGGGGAGGACACAACUCCAAGUUAUUUGUGGGCGACAAUGUCGGCAAGAUCACUGUGUGCUACAUACCUUCAUCAAAGGCCAAGACCCUGUUCCUCCAGCCAUCUGAAAUCAUCCUGCGUCUGGACACUACGGUGGUGCAACUGGACUGGUGGGGGGACAAGCUGUUGGCGUCCACACUGACCAGGAGCUACCUCCUCAACACCAACAGACAACAGUAUACUCAGAUAGGAAAAAAGCUGAGAGAUGGAGAGUAUGGGUCGUGUUUCUUCCUGGAGCCCAGUUCACAGUACCCUGUCAUCUACUGCUCCCGGCCUGGUUCUCGCGUCUGGGAGGUGGACUUUGACGCCAACGUGCUCAACACCCAUCAGUUCAAACAGCUGCUGGCAAUACCUCCGCUACCUGUCAUCAAGUUCCACGACCCUGUGGUGGAGUUUGCCGACCCCAGCAAAGUCUACACCGCUCAAUCCGUCGGCUUCAACAAACUCUGCCGGCUUGGUCCAUAUCUAAUAACAUGGUCCGGUCGCCGGGUGUAUGUGUUUGACCCAGUACGUGUCAGAAUCAUACUGUGGAAUGAACAGCCUGCCGGUGUGCGGGACAUGGUGACGAGCGGUACAGAGAUCUACAUCUUCCUGGAGGACCAGUCUCUGUGCCGCCUGCACCUCCUCCCAGUGGAGCGAUGUCUGCAGCUGCUGCUGGCCAAACAGGUGUGGUCGGUUGCUGGGGAACUGCUGUGUUACCUUGACAACUUUGUUGCUGUGCCCUUCAUCCAGAGACAUAUCAAACUGGGCUCCCUGUCAGAGCUGGUCAGCAAGCUGCUGAAUGACGGCCACGACCACACUGCUGACAGAGUUCAAGCUAUUGUAGAUGAGAUGUCCAACUUGAGUGACUCCACAGAAUCGGACAGCACGAAUGGGGACGUCGUUGAUGGUCAGUCAACCUUUCUAGACUCCGCUGUCAAACUUCCUUCUGGGAUAUUCCUCGUCAACAAUGCCCACAAACCAUCCCUUGAAGAGGAGCUUUACAACCCAGCAGACAGUGUGCUGGCAAGGUUCACUGUCCGUGGAGGAGAAAACAAGAUGGCCGCCCAGCAGGAUCAAAUGCUCCUGCGGUACAUGAGCAUGGACAAUCUGGACUCCGGCUCCAAGUGUGGCUCCCAGUAUCUAGAUGCAGAGGGAGAAAGUGGAAUGAAGAGGUCCUAUUCAACCACAGACUUGGACACAAUGAGAGAUGAGAGACACCGUGUUGUGGGUAUGGAGAAGGAAGGGACUCAAUCAAGUAAUGUUAGCCUUCAUAGGGACGAACCUGAAAGUCAGAAUGGUGAAUCACAACGUGAUAACUUUGUUGAUGUGGAUUUAGACACUGAGGAAAUCAGGGAACAGAAUUCUGGAAAGGUGUUAAAGGGGAAUAACUCUCAUGACAGAUUAAAGGGCAAUAACUCUUCCAAGGAGGAAAUGACAGAUGAUGAGAAUCGGAAUCAAGUGCCUUCUAAGCCUCAUCAGAGCUUAUCACCAGCAUUGGAGGAUGUUGCGCCGGUGAUAGCGGAGGCGGUGUCGCGGAGAUCGGGGAAGACAGGCAGGAAGAAGCGAGUCACACAGGUGGAUAUUCCAUCACCUGGGAUCUCGACUUCUGACGUGAAGAAAACCAAAACCCAGCUCCAGAGAUCAGCCAGCACAGGAUCCAUCAAGAAACUGAACAAGAAAAAGGAAUUGAAAUCUGUUUCAUCUAUCACCAUCAUUGAGGAAGACCCUGACAGAAGCCUGUAUAUGAAAGUUGAUCAAGAAUAUGACACUGUCUCCAUCGAUACUGUCAGCAGCAUUGAUGAGGACUCACACAGUCGUGCAGGGGACAUAACUCCAGACACACUUUCUAUUGGUGAAGGUGACAACCUAUCAUUGUAUUCAACUCACAGUCGAUCAAGGACACCAAUAUUUCAUAUAGAUGAAGAACCGAUUCCAUCUCUCCUGCAGCGACUGUCUGCAAGUGGUGUGUCAGCAGAAGAUUCCGCCACCAACAGCAAAGAUGGCUCCCCUGUAUCCCAGAGUUCCCUGGGGCAGUCAGUCGACAGCAAUGGAAGCGGAUCACCGAGUUCACAGUCACCAAAGAUGGCCCUACUAGCAGUCAAGGAAAGUCUUUCCCUAAAGUUCUCCAGCAAGACCAAGUCCAUCAUGCAGACAAUCCGGAAGAAGAGCCCGCUGAGCAAGUCCAACAACAUGCAAGAUCAGGCUGACCCAGAACAACAGGAGACAACUGGCCAAAGAGAGAAACAAGAUCCUGAGUCUGAUGUCACAAACAGAACAGAAUCAGAAAGUUCGUCUUCCAUGAAUCCUCUGAGUAGGUUCUCAGGAUCAGUUGAUCUCACCGAGCUGGAGUCUUCCACAGCAUCAACCAAGAGGAAGCUCCAGGACAUCACUGUGCUGAUGAAUCCCGAGUCUGUCAGGUCGCUCCUGCGGGACUGGAUGACAGGACUUCACAGGGUGCUGCAGAAGCUUCACCAGGAGGUUGAACAGCAGAGGAAGGUCAAGGUCAUGGCCAGGAAAUCAAGGAGGAGGCAACUCUGCAGUGAAAAGAAAGCCAUCCUGAUGAAAGACAGAAGUAAGGAUGAACCAGAAUACACAGAAGAUGAAGUCUUCAGUCAAGAACAACAUGGCAGUGGUGCUAAACCUGUAGAGACCCAAUCAUCACAUGAAGGUUCUGUAGGGCAGAGAGGUUCAUCCACUGAGCUGGAUGUGAUGGGUGAUGGAGACAGCUCUUUUAACCAUGAUGACAGAGAUGGUUGUCCAUCAUCGCCAAUAGACAAAUCCAGUUGUAGAAAUUCCAGUAUAGAGGAGGCACAGUCUGCACCCCUUGAACAUGGUAAUAAUUUAGGCUACUCUGAUAUGAGUGGCAGUGAAGAAGAGGAUCCCGACCGGUUAGAACCCAUCCACUGGGCAGACAUCAAUCAUAUCAACGAUCCCUUUAAAAUGUCAACAAAACUACAUACAGAUGUUUCAGAGUUGUGUGCCCUUUGUUUUGAGUCUGGUUGUCAUGGCAAUAUAUCAGAAUACAUGUUGACAAAUUUGGCAAAUAGGCAUCCGAGUGCCAACUCCAGUUCUGGAGUUACUCUUACCGAGGGCAGUGAGUCAGGCAAUCAGUCCAUCAGUCCAUCCAUCGGUCCAUUCAGUCCAUCCAUCGGUCCAUCCAUCAGUCCAUCCAUGCCAACACAAUCAGCAGCAGAUACUCAGGGACACUCUGGCAGCCCCGGCCACAAUGAUGGCUUUAUGUGUGAAGUGUACUGUGAUGCAUGUGACCGUGAGGUCGCCACUGUUGUGAGAUGUUACUACCACUGUUUAAGUAUGGAUCAGCUCCGGAAGACUGUAAGUAGCUGGAGGAACAACUGGCAGCAGACAUGGACUUCCAUUGUGAAGGCGAGCCAAGAACUUGGAGAAGGUGACCCCGUUUGUGAUAAGAUCCUGGCAAAAGACUACAACGGUGCUACCGACCUCCUCCGAUCUCUCAUCCUGCCAAACAAACACGCCUUCCUCGGCCAUGUUGCCAGAUUGUUCGGUGCUAGCUCGUCUCGUGCUAUAGAGUUCGCAGCAGAGGUCCCAAAACAGGUCUCAGUGCAAGACAUCUUGAACCUCUGUCAUCUCUAUGGCAACCAAACUACCAUCAGUAUUACCAAAUAUGUCCACCUGAGACUUGGAGAGAUGCCAUCAUAUCUCAGGUUGCAGGUUGUGAAACAGUUGUGUGCCCGGCAGUAUCUGAGGCUGGCACUACUGGACAGUUUGCUGACCGGACAGCCCGCCGCUAACGUGGACAGUCUUCAGCCAAGACCAGGAAGUCACAUGAUCAAGAAAGCUGAUGGAGACCUCAUUGACUGUGUCCUUGACCUUUGUGCAGAACAAGACUUUGAUGCGACUCUCAGUGUGUGCGAAAAACAGAGCUACUGGGCAGGUUGUCUGCAGUUGUGGAAGAAGAAAAGUAUGUCGUCAUGGCAACAGAUGUUACAACUGAUUGUGAAACUGGGUGACAUCACUCUCCUUGAUGAUUCACACUCCUAUGGUUAUCUCCCGAAGACAGCAGAAGAGUGGCACUACUUUCUGCACCAGUACACAGACUCGCUGUCCUCUAGGCCAGCUUCUGAUUGGUCCAACAGUCUGACAUGGGAGGGAAUCGGUGAGCUGAUGGUGAAGACCAUUGGUCCCAGUGCUGCUGUCAUGGUGUUGCAGGAAUGUCAUCUCCCAGAGCGGGCGUUGUCACCUCAGUUCUACCAGAUGUGUAUACUGGAGUCUCUCGUGCACCGCCAACAGAGACUGGUUGUUCACAAUAUGUUGGAAAAGGUGGACACAUACCUUUGGGCAAAAAAACAACCACAUCUCGCUCCACAGCUAUUGUAUGCGGUGCGGGCAGAGAAGCGAAGUCGCUCGGGGCCGGAGGAGGACCGACAGGAGUACCAGCAGCUGUUUUCACAGUUGUCGGUGAAGCAGCACAGCGAGGGACGCACCGUGGAGGAUGCAGAAGCUCACUGGGGCAUCGCCGCGGACAUCACCGGAGGAUGCCGAAACUGUUGCGUUAGUCUCACUGAGACUGUGUCGCACACUGUACCUGGAGUCAUCAUCUUUACCUGUGGUCACAGCUUCCACAAGUUCUGUGUUCCUCUGAAACUCUGCCCCCUGUGUCAUGAUGACCUCAAGCUAGAUGAGCACCUCCACAGGCCCAGUAACACCACAGCCGACUGACCUCAAACCAGACCAGCACCUCAACAGGCCCAGUGACACCACAGCCGACUGACCUCAAACAUGACCAACACCUCCAUGGGACCAGCUACACCACAGCCAACUGAUCGCAAACAAGACCAGCACCUCCAUGGGCCCAACAACACCACAGCCACCUGAACUCACACAAGACCAGCACCUCCAUGGGCCCAGCUACACCACAGCCGACUAAACUCACACAAGACCAGCACCUCCACAGGCCCAGUGACACCACAGCCGACUGAACUCACACAAGACCAGCACCUCCAUGGGCCCAACAACACCACAGCAGACUGAACUCACACAAGACCAGCACCUCCAUGGGCCCAACAACACCACAGCCAACUGAACACACACAAGACCAGCACCUCCAUGGGCCCAACAACACCACAGCAGACUGAACUCACACAAGACCAGCACCUCCAUGGGCCCAGCUACACCACAGCCGACUGAACUCACACAAGACCAGCACCUCCAUGGGCCCAGGUACACCACAGCCAACUGACCUCAAACAUGACCAAAGCCUCCAUGGGCCCAGCUACACCACAGCCGACUGAACUCACACACGACCAGAUCCUCCAUGGGCCCAGCUACACCACAGCCGACUGAACUCACACAAGACCAGCACCUCCAUGGGCCCAGCUACACCACAGCCGACUGAACUCACACAAGACCAGCACCUCCAUGGGCCCAGCUACACCACAGCCAACUGAACUCACACAAGACCAGCACCUCCAUGGGCCCAGCUACACCACAGCCAACUGAACUCACACAAGACCACAGUCGACUGACCCCAAACAAGACCAGCACCUCCAAAAUCUACAUCACCUGCACAUAGCUUCAAGGUGGGGAGCUAGAGGUCAUAAAUUUCAUAGAACAUGGAGAAUGCAUUUGGCAUCUGCAGCCGAUGUUGAAACAACCUACCAGUACCCAGCCAUUCAAUGCAAUCUCACUUCCAGGUUAACUGCUUGUCUGUUUAACGAGGAAAUGAAUAUGACCAACAGCAUGAGAAUGUUGCCUUGUUUUGUUAUCAUCUUUUGUACAAGAAUUGAGGUUAGUCAUGAAAUAUUCAGAUUGCCUGAUGGUAUGAUUCAUAUGCAUGACAAAUAUGUUACAAGUUGAUCCAGGGUUGGAAUCGAAAUAUAACCUACUGAGUGAAAUGUGACAGAACACAACAGUUUCAUAAUGUCAAAUAAUUGUAUUCAAACUGUAAUCGAUGGCAAUUACAAUAUCGCUUUAUAUAUUGAUACGGACAAUUUGCCAGUACACAAAAUAAGAAAAGGAGCAAUGCUGAAACAGUCGUGACUGAAUGAUAAUAUUGUAUUGUCCAGUCGGUGAAAGUCUGUCCUGAAAACAGUACAAUCUGACAAAGAGCACAGUCAAGUAUGUCUUUUAUGUAAAAUGAAAAUUCCUUUUGAUUAGCAAAAGCCCCUCCGUUUUAUACACACAUACUUUCUCACUGGCCUUCCUCCACUCUCCCAAGUAACGUUUAGAAUAUCCAUGUGAUCAAACUGCAAGAAAAAUUAUGUUUAAUAGCAUAAUUGAAAUAUGUAAAAAUAAACUAGUCCAUAGUAUGUCAAUAUUGUUAAAUUGGAGCUCCCAUCUCAGCUGCAAUGAAGUUGUACAGUUGUUUCACUUAUUUCUUUCGUAAAUGUAAUGCCCUGUUUUCUACUCUUCUCUCUGUUUGUGUAUACUCUGUCUUGUGUACAUAUGUCAAUGUGGUUAUUUUUAUAUAACGCUAGUCAUGUAAAUAUUUUGGGAGAGUGUUACCUGAGUUGUGAAAACUUGUGCCCAAUCCUUCUCCUUGUGAAUAUGAUAUGUUUAAAUGAGCAAAACAUGAACAAAUGGUCAUAUGAUACUCGCCUAACAACUUUUAUGUGUCUGUGACUUUCGUAAGACCUGUUAAAAAUUGUCAAUAAUUUAAACUGUUUAAAGUAGUAUUGCAGAAAGUGGUCUACUUUCAACACUGCUUCCAAACUAAUAAUUCAAGAUGAGGAAAUCCAUAAUCAAACAUAUAACAACAAAUGGCAUCAUGUUAUUCACUGCUUUCAUCACCAUUCUAGAUUUACUGUAAACCGCAAUGCAUUGUCCAACCUUGGAGUACCAGUAUCUCCACAUCAACAGCCAAAUAUGUAAUAUCUGUAUCCUCGACUACUCAACUUUUGUUAUUGAUGGUCUUAUUGUUACCAGUGAAUAUGUGUAUGGAAUAUCUAUAUCUUCGACUAUUCAACAUUUGUAACUGUUGAUCCUGAAACCUAUGAUUGUGGGUUCGAAUCCAGGUUCACCCCGAUUAUGUUUCUAGGUUUGUCAGCACCAUACCCGUGCUCGUGGGUUUCACCGAAGUGGUAAACGUCUGAGACCUGAAUUACUUCGGGCUUUCCUCCCACAUUAAGCUGACACGCUGUGAUAUAGCUGGAAUACUGUUAAAAGCAGCGUUAAACCCAACUCACUCUCUCACUCACUGUAAUACACACAACCAAAUGGUAAGUUCCCACAAAGCUAAUGCUCAAUGUUGUCGUGACCUCCAUUCUGUACAAUAACUCAUUAUCCUGUUGUAGAGUGUAUUUGAUACCUACGUGAACCGGUGCCUGCUAUAUUCAGAAUCUGUGUAAGACUAGGUGUAAAUAUCUGUAAAUAGAAUUCCUAUUGUGUGAUUUCAGAGACCAAGUAUUAUAUAAUAUGAUUUCCAGAGUGCUUUCAUUAAACAGUGCAGAUGAGUGGGCAUGGAUUCUCUCCCUUUGCAUCUUCCCACUGACUAUGUAUGAGGGAAAGCUGCUGAUGACAUAGCAAUCAGGGUUUUGUACACUGUCUUCCCUACGGUCUGUAGUCGGUAUAGAAAGUCUAUCUUCAUUGUUAUGUCAAAUGUAAGUUACGAUACUGUGUAAGGGAGAGAACUCUAACAUGGCUGGUGCUGUUCAGGUAUACUUGCUCUGCAGUAUUUAUUUGUCCGUGUCCAAUAUUUUAAUAAGUUGUGUGAACGCCAUGCUUUAAUAUAAUAUAUAUGCUAAUAUUUACCCUCCAAGAGUAUGUGUCUCUUUCAGAACUAUGUUAAUAUUCUGAUGUACUUUGUAACCUUCCCAAAGAAAAUAGCAUACGAUAUAUUGCUGUUCAGGUAUACUUGCUCUGCAGUAUUUAUUUGUGCAGUGUUGUACAGAUGUCCAUAUAUCUAUACAGGGGUUUCAUGCAUGACUGUUUGAUGCUGUGCCUUUUAGGCCUGGGACGAGUCCAAAUUUACUACCCGGGUACCCGACCCCCCUAUUACCUGACCCUACUUGGGUACUUGCUGUAGGUCUUAAGUUGGGUACAAAAAGAGUCAGGAGGACUGUGCACAGUCAGAAAGAAAUGCGAAUAUUAUCAACUUGUACUUGUGUAACCAUCAGAUUUUAUUGUUGUUGUCAUUUAACUAUAUAUCAAAUGACUAACCACGGGUCCGGGUAGUCCUGUGGGUACCUGGGUCCUACUCAGGACCCACCCAACCCGAGUACCCGAGAACCUGAUUUACCUGUCCCAGCCCCAGUGCCUUUAUUUUUUUACAAAUAUGCUUGUUCAUCACAAAGUAAAUGGCUGGGUUUAUGGAGUUUUGAUGCAUCAGAAAUUCACAACCAAACACAUGUUUCGUCCUUAUGAUCAAAGUAGCUUAUACCUUAUUAGCACAAAGAGGUCAUCUGAUCUCUCAAAAUUGUUUAAGAAUUAUUGCCCAAGCCGAUUGUACUGGGAUGUCUGUUUUGAUGUAAAUCCAUUAUAUCUCAUAUCUGUAUGUAAACUGUUUGUAUAUAGUCUGUUGUCACAGGAUUUUACAAGAUGAACUUUUGGUCUCAGGGUGCACAAGAAUCUUCACCUUGUAAGUUAUGUAAUCCUGCUGAAUCAUGAUUGAUUUGUUGAUUUAUAUUUGGUGUAAUACUCUCGUGUGACAUAAUAUUUCUAUGAUACUCAGUGACUUUAUGCAAAAACCUCAGUGUUCUGUCACAUAUGUGACAUGAUGUGGAGAGCUCCGUACUUAGGUCACAUGUGACAUGAUGUGAAGAGCUCCGUAUUCAGGUCACAUGUGACAUGAUGUGAAGAGCUCCGUACUCUGGUCACAUGUGACAUGAUGUGGAGAGCUCCGUACUCAGGUCACAUGUGACAUGAUGUGGAGAGCUCCGUACUUAGGUCACAUGUGACAUGAUGUGAAGAGCUCCGUACUCAGGUCACAUGUGACAUGAUGUGAAGAGCUCCAUACUCAGGUCACAUGUGACAUGAUGUGGAGAGCUCCAUACUCAGGUCACAUGUGACAUGAUGUGAAGAGAUCCGUACUCAGGUCACAUGUGACAUGAUGUGAAGAGCUCCGUACUCAGGUCAUAUGUGGCGUGAUGUGUAGAGCUCCGUACUCAGAUCACUUGUGACAUGAUGUGUAGAGCUCCGUACUCAGGUCACUUGUGACAUGAUGAGAAGAGCUCCGUACUCAGGUUACAUGAUGUGGAGAGCUCCGUACUCAGGUCACAUGUGACAUGAUGUGAAGAGCUCCAUACUCAGGUCACAUGUGACAUGAUGUGGAGAGCUCCGUACUCAGGUCACAUGUGACAUGAUGAGGAGAGCUCCAUACUCAGGUCACAUGUGACAUGAUGUGGAGAGCUCCGUACUCAGGUCACAUGUGACAUGAUGUGAAGAGCUCCGUACUCAGGUCACAUGUGACAUGAUGUGAAGAGCUCCAUACUCAGGUCACAUGUGACAUGAUGUGGAGAGCUCCGUACUCAGGUCACAUGUGACAUGAUGUGAAGAGCUCCGUACUCAGGUCACAUGUGACAUGAUGUGAAGAGCUCCGUACUCAGGUCACAUGUGACAUGAUGUGAAGAGAUCCGUACUCAGGUCACAUGUGACAUGAUGUGAAGAGCUCCGUACUCAGGUCAUAUGUGGCGUGAUGUGUAGAGCUCCGUACUCAGAUCACUUGUGACAUGAUGUGUAGAGCUCCGUACUCAGGUCACUUGUGACAUGAUGAGAAGAGCUCCGUACUCAGGUCACAUGUGACAUGAUGUGAAGAGCUCCGUAUUCAGGUCACAUGUGACAUGAUGUGAAGAGCUCCGUACUCUGGUCACAUGUGACAUGAUGUGGAGAGCUCCGUACUCAUGUCACAGGUGUCAUGAUGUGAAGAGCUCUGAACUCAGGUCACAUGUGACAUGAUGAGAAGUGCUCCGUACUCAGGUCACCUGACAUGAUGUGAAGAGCUCCGUACUCAGGUCACAUGUGACAUGUGGAGAGCUCUGUACUCAGGUCACGUGAUAUGAUGUGAAGAGCUCCGUUCUCAGUGACAUCACAUCAGUCAGUGUCUCUUUCAGAACUAUGUUAAUAUUCUGAUGUACUUUGUAACCUUUCCAAAGAAAAUAGCAUAAGAUAUAUUGUAUUCAUUUUCAGCCUGUGUCCACACAUAUACAGCAGUCUGUACUUGAGGGUUGUGAAUAAACUAUGCAUGCCUUG